UUAAACUUUAAAUGGCCGCGGUAUCCUGACCGUGCAAAGGUAGCAUAAUAAUUUGCCUGUUAAUUGCAGGCUAGUAUGAACGGGUGAACGAAAUAAUAGCUGUCUACAAAAAAAAAAAAAAAAAUUAUCCUUUAGAUGAAGAGAUCUAAAUAAAUUUGAAGGACAAGAAGACCCUAUAGAGCUUUACCGUUAUUAAAUCUUAUAUUUAUAUUGGUUCGAUUGGGGCGAUCAAGGAAAAAUCAUCCUUUACACACCAAGAUACAUAUAUCAUUUAAAUGACCCUAUAAAGAUCAAAAGAACAAGCUACCUUAGGGAUAACAGGCUAAUUCUUUAUAAGAGACCUUAUUAAAUAAAGAGUUUGGCACCUCGAUGUUGGCUUAGG
rnacentral:rRNA from 1 species